UCAUAGGUUGCUUUAGCAACCACCAUUAUAUCACGAUCUAAAGCAG
rfam:Oryzias latipes DNA, chromosome20, strain: Hd-rR.